rnacentral:lncRNA from 1 species
AUUUCUCUCUUUCACAACAACCUUAGAUGAUGUUCCUAGGAUCUGCUAGUUGAAGGCUAUGGCGGAUUUGGAUUGGAUUUCUCUAAGCUAAUUGGCUAGUUAGAUGUAGAUCUAUCUUGCGGCGGAAGAUGAGGUUCACCCCGGUGGGUUCACCACUUUGCGAACUGAUAACGGUUCAUUUGUGACGAGAUCCUUGAUGGCUAGUCACGGGGAUCCUUAACCGGAUUUUGAUGGUUAAUGGCUUGCUUGAGCUAGCGUCCAACCUCUACCGCCUUGAUUGGAAGGGAGGUUUCUUUGGAAGUAAAGGUAAGUGUAAUUCGUUGGAUUAGAGGGUUAGUUGCGUGGCUUCUUUUUGCUAGGUCAGGGAGAAGAAACUAUUAGAUCUCUGGUUGUGGCGGAUCUACCUUUCCCAAAAGGAAAGUUCCGGGUUGGGUUUGAUCGCAGUGACGGUUUGCGGUGGGGUUCGCGAGCUCCAGCCUAAGAAUUGAUGUCAUGUCCUAGUCCCAAACGAGUCGUCCUUGCUAGCUUCAGAUUUAGUUGGUGGUUUAUUUUUUAGAUGCAAAACCUUAAACCCUAUACCCUAAACCCUAUACCCCAAACCCUAAACCCUAAAUCCCAAACCCUAAACCCUAAGGAGAUUUGUCGUUCUAGAGAUGAUGGUUGAUAUCUUUAAUUUUUCAAAUUAUACGUCGAUUUUUGUGUCCAAAUUUCCUGUACUAUUUCUGUUAAAAAAAAUUUGACGGGAAAUUUUUUGUCGGAAUUUUUUUGGUGGAAAAUAUUUUGCGGGAAAUUUUGUCAAAACUUUUUGGCGGUUGUCAGAAAAUUUUGGCGGGAAAUUCUUUUUCGAGAAUUUUUGGAAAUAAAACCCUAAACCCUAAAACCCUAAACCCUAAACCCUAAACCCUAAACCCCAAACCCUAAAGAUUUUGUCGUUCUAGAGCUAUUUGUUGAUUUUUCUUUUUUUUUUUAAUUAUAAAUCAAUUUUUUUGUCAAUAUUUCUUUUACUAUUUCUGUCAAAAAAAUUUGGCGGGAAAUUUUUGUUGGAAUUUUUUUGGCGGAAAAUAUUAUAACGGGAAAUUUUUGACAAUAACUUUUUGUCAGAAAAUUUUCAAGGUAAAAUGUUUCACAGAAACUUUUUUGGAAGGAAAACCAUAAACCCUAAACCCCAAACCCUAAACCAUAAAUUCUAAACCACAAACCCCAAACCCUAAACCCUAAAGAGGUUUGCCAUUUUCUCUUCUAUGUUGGUGUAAGGCGUGGUUGGAUCUAUCCUUCGAUGUAGACGAUUUCUCUCUUUCACAACAACCUUAGAUGAUGUUCCUAGGAUCUGCUAGUUGAAGGCUAUGGCGGAUUUGGAUUGGAUUUCUCUUGGCUAAUUGGCUAGUUAGAUGUAGAUCUAUCUUGCGGCGGAAGCUGAGGUUCACCACGGUGGGUUCACCACUUUGCGAACUGAUAACGGUUCAUCUGUGACUAGAUCCUUGAUGGCUAGUCACGGGGAUCCUUAACCGGAUUUUGAUGGUUAAUGGCUUGCUUGAGCUAGCGUCCAACCUCCACCGCCUUGAUUGGAAGGGAG